rnacentral:rRNA from 1 species
AUUGAACGCUGGCGGCAUGCUUUACACAUGCAAGUCGAACGGCAGCGCGGGCUUCGGCCUGGCGGCGAGUGGCGAACGGGUGAGUAAUGCAUCGGAACGUGCCCAGUAGUGGGGGAUAGCCCGGCGAAAGCCGGAUUAAUACCGCAUACGACCUGAGGGUGAAAGCGGGGGACCGAAAGGCCUCGCGCUAUUGGAGCGGCCGAUGUCGGAUUAGCUAGUUGGUGGGGUAAAGGCUUACCAAGGCGACGAUCCGUAGCUGGUCUGAGAGGACGACCAGCCAAACUGGGACUGAGACACGGCCCAGACUCCUACGGGAGGCAGGAGUGGGGAAUUUUGGGCAAUGGGGGCAACCCUGAUCCAGCCAUGCCGCGUGCGGGAAGAAGGCCUUCGGGUUGUAAACCGCUUUUGUUCGGGAAGAAAUCCUCUGGGCUAAUACCCCGGGGGGAUGACGGUACCGGAAGAAUAAGCACCGGCUAACUACGUG